rnacentral:tRNA from 1 species
GGGGGUAUAGCUCAGUGGUAGUUUGGCAAGCAUGAGGUCUUGGGUUCAAUCCCCAGUACCUCCG